GCUUACGGCCACACGCCUGGUUCACUCCCCGAUCUCGUUUGAUCUCGGAAGCUAAGAUAGGUUGGGCCUGGUUAGUACUUGGAUGGGAGACCGCCUAGGAAUACCAGGUGCUGUAAGGC
rnacentral:rRNA from 1 species